rnacentral:rRNA from 1 species
GACGAACCGUGCGAACGUUGGUCGGAAUCACUGGGCUUAAAGCGCGCGUAGGCGGCCCGGUAAGUCGGGUGUGAAAUCCUGGGGCUCAACCCCAGGACUGCACUCGAUACUGCCAGGCUAGAGGUAGGUAGGGGAGAUCGGAAUUCCUGGUGUAGCGGUGAAAUGCGCAGAUAUCAGGAGGAACACCGGUGGCGAAGGCGGAUCUCUGGGCCUUACCUGACGCUCAGGCGCGAAAGCUAGGGGAGCGAACAGG